UACGUAGGGGGCAAGCGUUGUCCGGAUUUAUUGGGCGUAAAUAGCGUGUAGGCGGCUGGGUAGGUCCGUUGUGAAAACUCGAGGCUCAACCUCGAGACGCCGAUGGAAACCCUCCAGCUAGAGUCCGGAAGAGGAGAGUGGAAUUCCUGGUGUAGCGGUGAAAUGCGCAGAUAUCAGGAAGAACACCCGUGGCUAAGGCGGCUCUCUAGUACGGUACUGACGCUGAGACGCGAAAGCGUGGGGAGCGAACAGG
rnacentral:rRNA from 1 species